GAUGAACGCUAGCGGCAGGCUUAACACAUGCAAGUCGAGGGGUAGAAGUUGCUUGCAACUUUGAGACCGGCGCACGGGUGCGUAACGCGUAUGUAAUCUACCUUAUACAGAGGGAUAGCCCAGAGAAAUUUGGAUUAAUACCUCAUAGUAUAAUUGAAUGGCAUCAUUUAAUUAUUAAAGUUCCAACGGUAUAAGAUGAGCAUGCGUCCUAUUAGCUAGAUGGUAAGGUAACGGCUUACCAUGGCAACGAUAGGUAGGGGUCCUGAGAGGGAGAUCCCCCACACUGGUACUGAGACACGGACCAGACUCCUACGGGAGGUAGCAGUGAGGAAUAUUGGACAAUGGGCGCAAGCCUGAUCCAGCCAUGCCGCGUGCAGGAAGAAGCAUCUAUGGUGUGUAAACUGCUUUUGUACGGGAAGAAACACCCCUUCGUGAAGGGACUUGACGGUACCGUAAGAAUAAGGAUCGGCUAACUCCGUGCCAGCCGCCGCCGUAACAC
rnacentral:rRNA from 1 species